rnacentral:rRNA from 1 species
UAACGGCGAGUGAAGCGGUAACAGCUCAAAUUUGAAAUCUGGCCUCACGGUCCGAGUUGUAAUUUGUAGAGGAUGCUUCGAGCAUGGUCUGGCCUAAGUUCCUUGGAACAGGACGUCAUAGAGGGUGAGAAUCCCGUAUGCGGCCAGGUGCCUACGCUCAUGUGAAGCUCCUUCGACGAGUCGAGUUGUUUGGGAAUGCAGCUCAAAAUGGGUGGUAAAUUUCAUCUAAAGCUAAAUAUUGGCCAGAGACCGAUAGCGCACAAGUAGAGUGAUCGAAAGAUGAAAAGCACUUUGGAAAGAGAGUUAAACAGUACGUGAAAUUGUUGAAAGGGAAGCGCUUGCAACCAGACUUGCGCGCGGCCGAUCAUCCGGUGUUCUCACCGGUGCACUCGGCCGUGCUCAGGCCAGCAUCGGUUUUGGCGGCUGGAUAAAGGCCCUAGGAAUGUGGCUCCUCUCGGGGAGUGUUAUAGCCUAGGGUGCAAUGCAGCCUGCUGGGACCGAGGACCGCGCUUCGGCUAGGAUGCUGGCGUAAUGGUUGUAAGCGGCCCGUCUUGAAACACGGACCAAGGAGUCUAACAUCUAUGCGAGUGUUUGGGUGUCAAACCCAUACGCGUAAUGAAAGUGAACGGAGGUGAGAACCCUUAAGGGUGCAUCAUCGACCGAUCCUGAUGUCUUCGGAAGGAUUUGAGUAAGAGCAUAGCUGUUGGGACCC